rnacentral:rRNA from 1 species
GAGUUUGAUCUUGGCUCAGAUUGAACGCUGGCGGCAUGCCUUACACAUGCAAGUCGAACGGCAGCACGGGAGCUUGCUCCUGGUGGGCGAGUGGCGAACGGGUGAGUAAUGCAUCGGAACGUAUCCUGGAGUGGGGGAUAACGUAGCGAAAGUUACGCUAAUACCGCAUAUUCUGUGAGCAGGAAAGCGGGGGACCUUCGGGCCUCGCGCUCUUGGAGCGGCCGAUGUCGGAUUAGCUAGUUGGUGAGGUAAAGGCUCACCAAGGCGACGAUCCGUAGCAGGUCUGAGAGGAUGAUCUGCCACACUGGAACUGAGACACGGUCCAGACUCCUACGGGAGGCAGCAGUGGGAAUUUUGGACAAUGGGGGCAACCCUGAUCCAGCCAUGCCGCGUGAGUGAAG